rnacentral:snRNA from 1 species
AGAUGUGAGGGCGAUCUGGCUGCGGCAUGUGUCACCCCAUUGAUCGCCAGGGUUGAUUCGGCUGAUCUGGCUGGCUAGGCGGGUGUCCCCUUCCUCCCUCACCCCUCCAUGUGCAUCCCUCACAAAGCCGCACGCUCGGUCAAAGAGGACGGCCUUCCCCGAACAGAGACGGACCCGCUUUCGGUCAAGGGUAUACGAGUAGCUGCGCUCCCCUACUAGAACCUCCAAACAAGCUCUCUAGUUGUCUCUCCUCCCAGAUAUCCUCAACAGAGUAGUGCUUGGCUGUGGGUUCAGUUCAUUUUUAUUUAUUUAUUUAUUUAUUUAUUUAUU